rnacentral:lncRNA from 10 species
UUUGAGGUGGAGUCUCACUCUGUCGCCCAGGCUGGAGUGCAGUGGCGUGAUCUCGGCUCACAGCAACCUCUGCGUCCCGGGUUCAAGAAAUGACCAGAACCUGAAAUUUAUAUUUAAAGGGGAAGCAGAGUGUAAAAGUUUGAAAAAUUUGCAGCCCACCCAUGUGGUGGAAAAGAAAACCCCAUUUCCAAGGCUCAUAGGUGAAGAGACUUUUGCCUUGUCUGAGAUGAGACUUUGGACUUUGGACUUUUGAGUUAAUGCUGUAAUGAGUUAAGACUGUGAAUUAUUGGGAAGUCAUGAUUGUACUUUUGCAAUGUGAGGAGGACACGAGAUUUGGAGGGAUCAGGGGUGAAAUAAUUUGGUUUAGAUCUGUGUCCUCACCCAAAUCUCAUGUUAAAUUGUAGUCCCCAGUGUUGGAGAUGGGGACUGAUGGGAGGUAAUUAGAUCAUGAGGGCGAAAUUCUCAUCAAUGCUUUAGGACCGUCUCCUCUGUGCUAUUCUCAUGAUAGAGUUCUCAUAAGAUCUGGUUGUUUAAAAGUAUGUGGCACUUCCACACCUCCCACCACCACCACCACCACCACCACCAUUCUCCUACUCCAGCCAUGUAAGAGGCACUUGCUUCCCCUUCACCUUCCACCAUGAUUGUAAGUUUCCUGAGGACCCCCAGAUGCAGAAGCUGCUAUACUUCCUGUACAGCCUGUAGAACUGUGAGCCAAUUAAACCUCUUUUCUUAUAAACUAUCCAGUCUCAGGUGUUUCUUUAUAGCAGUGCAAGAAUGGGCUAAGACACAACCCAUAUGAUUUGCCUCUCUUGCUCCCUGAAGCCCACAGGGACUUUACAGGUAUGCUACAAUGACUCCCUCUCAGUACAGCAUGACCCAUGAAACUCACAUCUGCUUGCUUUAAACCCACCAACUACAGCUCUCUGUGGGAAAUCUGCUUAGGUAAUGCCCUGAAUCUCAGUAAAGGCUCUGGAUUACAGGUCUCUCUCUGACUCUCUUGCUCCUCAUCCACUGGUUGAGCAUGAGUGUCCCAGACAGCUUCCCCUUCCCAUUGGCCCUGCCAGGUGUGCUACCCUCUUCUCUUCGUAGUCUGUAAGUUAUAAAAUGCUUCUGUUAUUUCAUGUUUUGUGCUGCCUCCUGUGUGUCACUCGACUGACACACUUGAACCUAACUUCCUUCGUGGUCAGGGCUAGAUUUUAUAGCCACUCUCAAGAGAGAGACCUCAGUACCUGAUUAGAAAGAAUGGAUACUUACACAAAAAUUUCUCACUGUUGGUUAGUUUUGUCUGUUCUAGACUUUCACAUGAAGAGAACCAUAUAGACUUCCUGUGUGUGUCUGGGUUUUUUUUUGCUUAGCAUCAUGCUUUUGAGAUUCAUCUAAGUAAUAUUUAUUUCACCGUAUGAGUAUGCCACAAUUUGAUUAUCUAUUUCCUUUUAUAG